AGUUCUCGUUGAUGAUCGGUGCUUGCACCGAGAUUCAACAUGGAACGAGUGGCGGACGGGUGAGUAACACGUGGGUAACCUGCCCUUAAGUGGGGGAUAACAUUUGGAAACAGAUGCUAAUACCGCAUAGAUCCAAGAACCGCAUGGUUCUUGGCUGAAAGAUGGCGUAAGCUAUCGCUUUUGGAUGGACCCGCGGCGUAUUAGCUAGUUGGUGAGGUAAUGGCUCACCAAGGCGAUGAUACGUAGCCGAACUGAGAGGUUGAUCGGCCACAUUGGGACUGAGACACGGCCCAAACUCCUACGGGAGGCAGCAGUAGGGAAUCUUCCACAAUGGACGCAAGUCUGAUGGAGCAACGCCGCGUGAGUGAAGAAGGCUUUCGGGUCGUAAAACUCUGUUGUUGGAGAAGAAUGGUCGGCAGAGUAACUGUUGUCGGCGUGACGGUAUCCAACCAGAAAGCCACGGCUAACUACGUGCCAGCAGCCGCGGUAAUACGUAGGUGGCAAGCGUUAUCCGGAUUUAUUGGGCGUAAAGCGAGCGCAGGCGGUUUUUUAAGUCUGAUGUGAAAGCCCUCGGCUUAACCGAGGAAGCGCAUCGGAAACUGGGAAACUUGAGUGCAGAAGAGGACAGUGGAACUCCAUGUGUAGCGGUGAAAUGCGUAGAUAUAUGGAAGAACACCAGUGGCGAAGGCGGCUGUCUGGUCUGUAACUGACGCUGAGGCUCGAAAGCAUGGGUAGCGAACAGGAUUAGAUACCCUGGUAGUCCAUGCCGUAAACGAUGAAUGCUAGGUGUUGGAGGGUUUCCGCCCUUCAGUGCCGCAGCUAACGCAUUAAGCAUUCCGC
rnacentral:rRNA from 1 species